UGCCGCGUGAACGAAGAAGGUCUUCGGAUUGUAAAGUUCUAUCCUUGCCGAAGAGAGGUAGAUGGAGUAACUGCCAUAUACAGGACGGUAGGCGAGGAGGAAGCCCCGGCUAACUACGUGCCAGCAGCCGCGGUAAUACGUAGGGGGCAAGCGUUGUCCGGAAUUACUGGGCGUAAAGGGCGCGUAGGCGGCAAUAUAAGUCAGAUGUGAAAGGUGAGGGCUCAACCCUUAGACUGCAUCUGAUACUGUAUAGCUUGAGUGUGAGAGAGGAAAGCGGAAUUCCUAGUGUAGCGGUGAAAUGCGUAGAUAUUAGGAGGAACACCAGUGGCGAAGGCGGCUUUCUGGCUCAUAACUGACGCUGAGGCGCGAAAGCGUGGGGAGCAAACAGGAUUAGAUACCCUGGUAGUCCACGCCGUAAACGAUGGGUACUAGGUGUUAGGGGUUUCGAUGCCCUUCAGUGCCGGAGUAAACACAAUAAGUACCCCGCCUGGGGAGUACGGUCGCAAGACUGAAACUCAAAGGAAUUGACGGGGGCCCGCACAAGCGGUGGAGCAUGUGGUUUAAUUCGACGCAACGCGAAGAACCUUACCAAGACUUGACAUCCCUCUGACCGGACUUGUAAUGAGUCCUUUCCUUCGGGACAGAGGAGACAGGUGGUGCAUGGUUGUCGUCAGCUCGUGUCGUGAGAUGUUGGGUUAAGUCCCGCAACGAGCGCAACCCCUAUUACUAGUUGCCAGCAUUAAAGGUGGGCACUCUAGUGAGACUGCCAGUGACAAACUGGAGGAAGGUGGGGAUGACGUCAAAUCAUCAUGCCCCUUAUGACUUGGGCUACACACGUGCUACAAUGGGUGGUACAAAGGGCAGCGAAACCGCGAGGUGGAGCCAAUCCCCAAAGCCACGUCCCAGUUCGGAUUGCAGGCUGCAACCCGCCUGCAUGAAGUCGGAAUCGCUAGUAAUCGCAGAUCAGCAUGCUGCGGU
rnacentral:rRNA from 1 species